GAUGUGUCAAAAUCAAUUAAGGGUGUGCUAAAAUCAAUUUCCCUUCGUACGGAUGAUUGUUUGUUAUCCAAAGAUGAGAAAUGGGUCCCAAUCCUACUCAGAUAUGAGUAAGAUUCUAAUGGCAUCUGAUCUCAUCGUCACUAAGUAUCCCCAAGUACUUGGGAUUUUUUUUAUCGAGCUACUAUAUAUACCUCCACAAUUAUGCACCUGCCAUUCAUACGUCUAAUUUAUCAAAUUUAAACAAAUCGUCUAAAAUUUUCAUGUCAUUUCUUCUCUCUUCAAUUGCUAAUAAGUAGUUGCUAGAAAUUUUCUCAAAAACCAAAAAAAAAUAAAAAAAUAAAAAAAAAAGGUAGUUGCUAGAAAUAAUGCACCAAAUUUGUCUCAUGUUUGAUGAUUUGCAUGCCAAGUUCAUAAUUUCUUGCUAGCUUUUGCUCAUUCCAACUUCUGAUUAGAAAAGGUGAGGAUUCCUUCUCAAAUCUUUGCUAGGAAUUUUGUAUUGAAAAUGACUAUUUUUCGAUUAUCAAACUCUACAAUCACUUAAACGUUUUCCUACCUACCAUAUAGAGUGUUAGAGUCAGGAGUAAUGCAUAUGAAACUCUGUUAGUUGAGACGAUUAAUACAAGAGGAGGAGUGAAUUGUAUUGAGUUCCUAAUGACUACUUUUUGCGGAUAAAUAAACAAUGCGUAAAGGAACUUAAGCAAACACACAAAUUUUACGAGGAAACCUUUCAGGGCCCAAUUGAAAGUAAAACCUCGACCCUACCUUAGGGAUUUCAUACACAAAACACUUCACUAUAAUAGGGCAAACACCAAGUUACAAACUAUUAGACACAUACCUUUAUUUCACAAGUUCCUCACUGGACUUGCUACUUGAUAGGACCCUAUCCUACCCAAUCUAAGCCACACUUAGAUUCACUCGUACCACCAAAGUACUACACGUACUACCAAAGUACAAAACAUUCAUACCACCCCAGUACAAAACUCACAGCCUCACCAAAAAGCUUACACAAAUCUGUAUGUAACACAAACCAUAAAUAUCACCCCAAAUAACCCCACCAAUACAAAUAUAAGACGCCUAUUAUUAUAGGUAAGCAAUGCACGAAAUCCGAAACUAAUAUGAUAAGUUAAAAGCUUGGUAAACUUACUCAGUUAAAGCACGAUGAUUUCUCCACGCAUAAACUCACAAAACCUAAAACAUUUUUCUCUCUACUAUUUAUACAAGUAACACUUGUAUAGAAGGUAGGUUUUCUAAAAAGCUAAAUAUGUUAACUUGACUUAUCUUUAUUAAACACUGUUUUAGUAAAUCAAGUGGAAUAAAAUCUUUUCCGAAAAUAAGUAUAAAAGAUAUUUAUUAAGAAAACUUAUCUUUCUUAAUAAACCGACUUUAGAGAAGAAUAAUCUUUUUAGAAAAUCUUUUCCUAAAAUCUAUCUUUUAUUAUUUUCCAUAUUUAUUUUAUUUACCAAGCAAACUUAUCACGUUUCUAAUAAAUUUCGUGCACUAACCUACUUACCAUAUUAACAAUAAUUUCUAAGAAUAAAACCUUGACUAUUAUUGUUGCGCCGCACUCUGAUCAGAUGAAUUACUUGGGCUCCAAGCAUAUCAAGUUCCACCAAAUUAAAGAACUUAACUGCUAGUCUUCAAGUUCCUGUUAUGGAACUUAGUUCUUGUUAGAGAACUCUUCCUCUGAUUAGUUUAACUUCUUCAAUAAAGAUCUUCUUCAUGUCUUCUUAGAUUCAGAUGAUUCUUCAAUCACCAAGAUUAUCCAGCACCUUGACUAAUCACACACUAGAAAAUCUUUAUUAGAUGAGUUUGCUUUUAGUUUAAGUUCCUCAUCAUCAAAACCUUUAUACUUCAACAAACUCGAGUUUUGAUACAAUAAUUUGUCAUUCUCUUAACAAAGCGCAAUUUACUAUGUAUUUCCAUUACUAUAUAUUGAGUUUUGAUGCUAUAUAUAUAGUGAUAAAAUAAUAGUGAAGUAAAUGUUAAGAUCUAAAUAGCUAUAGUGAUAGCCCUUCCAUUAGCCGCCAUGCUACAACUUACAAGAGGUACUAAUAGCUCUAAUCAGCACGUGGCUGAGUUACGAUUGAUAAAAAGGUGUCAAUUAAAUCAACACAAUCCGAAUAUAGAAAUAUAACUAUGUUGUGGAUGUGAUUUACCAUGUAAAUUAUAUUUUCCUUAUAUUAAGUCAUAAUUAAAGAAUAAAUGAGCUUGUUUGAUAUUAAUUCUAAACUCCGUCGCCAUCCACUCUAAAACCUACAAGUAGUAAAUAAGCAUGGCAAACAAGUGAAAAGACAAUACUCCCUCCGUCCCUAAAUUAAAAGUCUCCUUCUUUUUAUUAUGUGAGUAAUAAAUGCUAGAAAGAGGCUUUGUAUUAAGGGACGGAGAGAGUAGUAACCUAGCACUGCCUGUAAUUGAAUUUAGGGAAUUUUUUUUCUUGGGUAAUUGUCAAUGAUUUUGCAUUAUUUGCAUUCACACAAAGUCAAGGGUUUUAUAUGCAUGACAUUUACACAAGGUGUUAGACGUUUUAAUUUGUGGGCUAGCAUUUGGGCUUCGAUUGAUGUGCAUGUAUUAUUCAAUAAAUGGGCCGGGCCUAAGGUAUGAAUAAAGUUUAAGGCCAAUAGGUCUAUGGUAGACCCUGGUCCAUCUAAAAUAGGUGGACCACCAGCCCAAAUACAAUCCACCAGCACAAACACACUACAUAUAACGCGGCCCAAACUUUCGUUUCUUUCUUUCCACUCCAACAAAACUGGUAUAACAUUAAAUAUGAACAUUCACUCUUUCAAAGGCUGAAAAAUUCUCGUUUCUCUCUCCUCUGCAAAUUCGAACAUAGCCAUGGAUGAAAAGCAAGAAACCAAUGCAGAAAGCAACCAAUCUGAACUUCAACCCAAAUCCACCACCCAACACCAAUCUAAGAAGCUGAGAAUCAAGCUCAAAAGGAGGCUGAGAAUCAAGCUAAAAAGGAACUCAAAAGGAGACUGAGAAUCAAGCUAAAAAGGAAGCUCAAAAGAAGGCUAAGAAAGAAUCUCAAAAGAAGAAGGUUCAGAAGAAGCAAGAAAAUGUUCAACAGAGAGGAAGUUCAGAAGAGUGAAAUUAAGGAGAAAAAAAAGAAAACGAAGAGAUAAUGUUGAUGAUUUCUUUGAUGUAGACAAUGUUGUGGAUCUAAAUUAUGAUCGAAAAAGAAGUAAAAAAACCAGAUUAAAUAGGGAAGGAGGAUUUUAUAAAGAAGGAAAAAAAAAGUUAAGAUGACGGGAUUUGAAGAACAAGGCGAAAUUGUGUUUAAUUAAGAGAAGAGUGUGUUUAAUGCCUGGUUCACAUAGGAUAGGUGGACCAGGGUCUAUGUAAGAAUUUGUAAUUUAAGGCACUCUUCAUUAGGACUUUUGA